ACUUCUGUAAACAACAGAUGUGCCGUGGGAUACAAUUAGCCAAACAAGGGAGGAAGAGAUGCACGCGCAGGUCUGUCUACGCUAUCGGCUGUUGUACAAACAUCAGCUAUGGCAAGUUAAAUUGCGGCUAUGGAGUGUAAAGAACUAAAUAUUUUUACAGCACGUGUGCCGCCGUGCUGUACCUUUGUCGCCUGUAACUGUACGUGCUUGAUCACUCAUAAUGCAUCGUGUUCAAGUAUUUGUAUUUGAAACAAAACUAGAAGUAUUAUGGCACACAGAUUGUCAUGAAGGCCACGCGUAUGUUGGUUUCACUUUAGUUUUAAUCAGUCAACUGUGCGCACAAUCGUACGAAAUAAGGACUCUUACCAUGGGCGUAUAUAAGGGGAGGGUUCAGGGAGUCCGGAACCCCCCCCCCCCCCUUAGCAUAAGACAUAAUUAAAAUUAGCAGAAUAUUGAUGACGAAUAAUAUAAUCUGUGCGCCACAAAAUAUUAGCACGCAUCACAACAAUGAACUACCUGUAAAUGCUACGUGGACACUGCGCCAUCCACAUCCCCCCUCCCGACUUCUGCGCACCAUUCAUACUGCGCAUGCGCAGCACCCGCCUCCCACGCGACGCGCUUACUGCGCAUGCGCACAACAGUCGAGUCUCGCGACCUUGAUAGAACCACGCGCUUUCGCCAGCCAACAUGUUUUUUCAAGCCAUAUUUUGUUACUAUUAAAUGUCUACUCUUGAAUAAAAUUUUAUUAUGAAACGGUCAUCAAACCAAGUAUCACUUAUAGAUUUUUUUUGCAAGAAGAAGUAGAUGGAGCGGACGCGGGCCCGUCCACAAGCAUUAACAAUGAAGCAAAGAAUGAUGAUGUCCUGAAACUUCAUAAAGUUACCCAUAUUGAGGUGAAGGAAACAAUCUGCCUGUGGCUGCAACAGAGCAAAAAAAGAGUAAUGAUGAGGAAACAGAAACCAGCAACAAGGACCAGCUGAAAAUGAUCCAGGCCACUAAAAUUAUAUAUGAUACUAUAGUAGAUUGCUUAUUGUAUAAAUUAUAAUAUUAAUAAAUUUUUAGUAACU